AGCGAACGCUGGCGGCAGGCCUAACACAUGCAAGUCGAACGAACUCUUCGGAGUUAGUGGCGGACGGGUGAGUAACACGUGGGAACGUGCCUUUAGGUUCGGAAUAACUCAGGGAAACUUGUGCUAAUACCGAAUGUGCUCUUCGGGGGAAAGAUUUAUCGCCUUUAGAGCGGCCCGCGUCUGAUUAGCUAGUUGGUGAGGUAAAGGCUCACCAAGGCGACGAUCAUUAGCUGGUCUGAGAGGAUGAUCAGCCACAUUGGGACUGAGACACGGCCCAAACUCCUACGGGAGGCAGCAGUGGGGAAUCUUGCGCAAUGGGCGAAAGCCUAACGCAGCCAUGCCGCGUGAAUGAUGAAGGUCUUAGGAUUGUAAAAUUCUUUCUCCGGGGACGAUAAUGACGGUACCCGGAGAAGAAGCCCCGGCUAACUUCGUG
rnacentral:rRNA from 1 species